UAACAUGUGGGAACCUCGUGUUCUACUCAGU
rnacentral:piRNA from 1 species